GAUGAAGAACGUAGCGAAAUGCGAUAAGUAAUGUGAAUUGCAGAAUUCAGUGAAUCAUCGAAUCUUUGAACGCACCUUGCGCCCUUUGGCCAUUCCGAAGGGCAUGCCUGUUUGAGUAUCAUGAACACCUCAACUCUUCAUGGUUUUCCAUGAUGAGCUUGGACUUUGGGGGUCUUGCUGGCCUGUGGGUCGGCUCCUCUCAAAUGAAUCAGCUUGCCGGUUUUUGGUGGGCAUCACAGGUGUGAUAACUAUCUACGCUUGUAGUUUUCCACCAGGGUAACCUUCAGCAGUGGAGGUUCACUGGAGCUUACAAAUGUCUCUCCUCUGUGAGGACAGCCCUUUGAAUGUUUGAUCUCAAAUCAGGUAGGACUACCCGCUGAACUUAAGCAUAUCAAUAAGCGGAGGA
rnacentral:misc_RNA from 1 species